GAUGAACGCUGGCGGCGUGCCUAAUACAUGCAAGUCGAGCGAACAGACGAGGAGCUUGCUCCUCUGACGUUAGCGGCGGACGGGUGAGUAACACGUGGAUAACCUACCUAUAAGACUGGGAUAACUUCGGGAAACCGGAGCUAAUACCGGAUAAUAUAUUGAACCGCAUGGUUCAAUAGUGAAAGACGGUUUUGCUGUCACUUAUAGAUGGAUCCGCGCCGCAUUAGCUAGUUGGUAAGGUAACGGCUUACCAAGGCGACGAUGCGUAGCCGACCUGAGAGGGUGAUCGGCGACACUGGAACUGAGUCACGGUCCAGACUCCUACGGGAGGCAGCAGUAGGGAAUCUUCCGCAAUGGGCGAAAGCCUGACGGAGCAACGCCGCGUGAGUGAUGAAGGUCUUCGGAUCGUAAAACUCUGUUAUUAGGGAAGAACAAAUGUGUAAGUAACUAUGCACGUCUUGACGGUACCUAAUCAGAAAGCCACGGCUAACUACGUG
rnacentral:rRNA from 1 species